rnacentral:lncRNA from 1 species
AACAUAAACAAAAUAAACCAUCCAAUCAUCGCUCAAACCUUCACCUUCCCCUCAUCGGUAAAGCUAGGGUUGUCCAAAAAGCUCGCAGCUCGGAGCUCGCUCGAAGCUCGCUCGAAGCUCGCUCGGAUUUAGCUCGGAAAAAGCUCGUUCGAUAUGGCUCGGUUUGAAACCCUAGUAAAGCUUCACCGAUUCAUGACCCUUCUCGAGCGGUAAACACCUUAGGCGGCGGUGUUACCGCUCGGUAAAUUCGUUUACCGACCAAGUUUGCCGCCCACUCCGUUC